rnacentral:lncRNA from 1 species
GAAAAUUAGUCACCAAAUGUAAACAUAUAUGAUAUGCAUACAUAAUACACAUACAUCCCAUUUCAAAACUCAGGACCACAACUCAUGCGUUUUUCACCUCAAAUCCAAAUUUCACUGCAUUUCAAGUUAAUUUCAGCAAAACUAAAUGAAAUGAAAUUCAUCAAACAAAAAUACACAUUUUACCAAAUCCUCACCCUUGAUUAAAACCCUCACGCGGAUAACAACAAUUUCUCCCUCCAAAACCAUUCCUCUCAUCA